rnacentral:rRNA from 1 species
AUGCUUUCACAACUUGACUUUAAAAUAUUUGGUUUGGAGACCAUCAAAGAUCAAUAUGUGCAUGAUGCUGAAUUUAAUGAUAUAUUGCAGAAUCGUAAGGAAGGGAGAACUUGGAACAAGUUCGUUCUUAACGAUGGAUUUGUGUUUCGUGCUAACAAGCUAUGCAUUCUAGCUAGCCCCGUUCGUCUUUUGUUGUUGCAGGAGGCGCAUGGAGGAGGAUUAAUGGGACACUUUGGCGUCAAGAAGACGGAGGAUAUACUUGCUACACAUUUUUUUUGGCCAAAGAUGAGACAGGAUGUUGAGCGUUUUGUUGCUCGCUGCACUACAUGUCAAAAAGCCAAGUCACGACUCAAUCCUCAUGGUUUAUAUAUGCCUUUGCCUGUACCUAGUGUUCCUUGGGAGGAUAUAUCUAUGGACUUUGUUUUAGGUUUACCUCGAACAAAGAAGGGGAGGGAUAGCAUAUUUGUUGUCGUGGAUAGGUUCUAA